rnacentral:rRNA from 1 species
AUCGACUAAGCAUGCGAGUCAAGGUGUCUUCGGACGCCGGCAAACGGCUCAGUAACACGUCAGUAAAUCUACCCCCAGGACUGAGAUAACCCCGGGAAACUGGGGCUAAUACUAGAUAGAUAAAAGAUACUGGAAUGUUCUUUUAUCCAAAGCUUUUGUGCCUGAGGAUGGGCCUGCGUCCGAUUAGGUUGUUGGUGGGGUAAUGGCCCACCAAGCCUGCGAUCGGUACGGGCAGUGGGAGCUGAAGCCCGGAGUUGGGGACUGAGACAAGGCCCCAGGCCCUACGGGGCGCAGCAGGCGCGAAACCUCUGCAAUGCGGGAAACCGUGACAGGGGGAUCCCAAGUGCUCAUGCAUUGCAUGGGCUGUUCUUUGGUCUAAGUAACCAGAGGAGU